rnacentral:tRNA from 1 species
GCAUUGGUUGUUCCGUGGUAGAAUUCUUGCCUUCCAUGUGAGAAACCCAGGUUUGAUUCCUGGCCAAUGCA